rnacentral:rRNA from 1 species
UGGAUCGGAGUGAAAGGCUAAUCAAGCUCGGAGAUAGCUGGUUCUCCUCGAAAGCUAUUUAGGUAGCGCCUCAUGUAUCACUGUAGGGGGUAGAGCACUGUUUCGGCUAGGGGGUCAUCCCGACUUACCAAACCGAUGCAAACUCCGAAUACCUACAAGUGCCGAGCAUGGGAGACACACGGCGGGUGCUAACGUCCGUCGUGAAAAGGGAAACAACCCAGACCGUCAGCUAAGGUCCCAAAGUUAUGGUUAAGUGGGAAACGAUGUGGGAAGGCUUAGACAGCUAGGAGGUUGGCUUAGAAGCAGCCACCCUUUAAAGAAAGCGUAAUAGCUCACUAGUCGAGUCGGCCUGCGCGGAAGAUGUAACGGGGCUCAAACCAUACACCGAAGCUACGGGUAUCACGUAAGUGAUGCGGUAGAGGAGCGUUCUGUAAGCCUGUGAAGGUGAGUUGAGAAGCUUGCUGGAGGUAUCAGAAGUGCGAAUGCUGACAUGAGUAACGACAAUGCGAGUGAAAAACUCGCACGCCGAAAGACCAAGGGUUCCUGCGCAACGUUAAUCGACGCAGGGUUAGUCGGUCCCUAAGGCGAGGCUGAAGAGCGUAGUCGAUGGGAAACAGGUUAAUAUUCCUGUACUUCUAGUUACUGCGAUGGAGGGACGGAGAAGGCUAGGCCAGCUUGGCGUUGGUUGUCCAAGUUUAAGGUGGUAGGCAGAGUGCUUAGGUAAAUCCGGGCGCUUAAUGCCGAGAACUGAUGACGAGUCGUCUUUUAGACGAUGAAGUGGUUGAUGCCAUGCUUCCAGGAAAAGCUUCUAAGCUUCAGGUAACUAGGAACCGUACCCCAAACCGACACAGGUGGUUGGGUAGAGAAUACCAAGGCGCUUGAGAGAACUCGGGUGAAGGAACUAGGCAAAAUGGCACCGUAACUUCGGGAGAAGGUGCGCCGGUGAGGGUGAAGGACUUGCUCCGUAAGCCCAUGCCGGUCGAAGAUACCAGGCCGCUGCGACUGUUUAUUAAAAACACAGCACUCUGCAAACACGAAAGUGGACGUAUAGGGUGUGACGCCUGCCCGGUGCCGGAAGGUUAAGAGGAGAGGUGCAAGCCUUGAAUUGAAGCCCCGGUAAACGGCGGCCGUAACUAUAACGGUCCUAAGGUAGCGAAAUUCCUUGUCGGGUAAGUUCCGACCUGCACGAAUGGCGUAACGAUGGCGGCGCUGUCUCCACCCGAGACUCAGUGAAAUUGAAAUCGCUGUGAAGAUGCAGUGUAUCCGCGGCUAGACGGAAAGACCCCGUGAACCUUUACUAUAGCUUUGCACUGGACUUUGAAUUUGCUUGUGUAGGAUAGGUGGGAGGCUUUGAAGCGUGGACGCCAGUCUGCGUGGAGCCAUCCUUGAAAUACCACCCUGGCAACUUUGAGGUUCUAACUCAGGUCCGUUAUCCGGAUCGAGGACAGUGUAUGGUGGGUAGUUUGACUGGGGCGGUCGCCUCCCAAAGAGUAACGGAGGCG